UACGUAGGGGGCAAGCGUUGUCCGGAUUUAUUGGGCGUAAAGAGCGUGUAGGCGGCCAUACAGGUCAGCUGUGAAAACUCGAGGCUCAACCUCGAGACGUCGGUUGAAACCGUAUGGCUAGAGUCCGGAAGAGGAGAGUGGAAUUCCCGGUGUAGCGGUGAAAUGCGCAGAUAUCGGGAAGAACACCCGUGGCGAAGGCGGUUCUCUGGGACGGUACUGACGCUGAGACGCGAAAGCGUGGGGAGCGAACAGG
rnacentral:rRNA from 1 species